UACGUAGGGCGCAAGCGUUGUCCGGAAUUAUUGGGCGUAAAGAGCUCGUAGGCGGCUUGUCACGUCGGGUGUGAAAGCCCGGGGCUUAACCCCGGGUCUGCAUUCGAUACGGGCAGACUAGAGUUCGGCAGGGGAGACUGGAAUUCCUGGUGUAGCGGUGAAAUGCGCAGAUAUCAGGAGGAACACCGGUGGCGAAGGCGGGUCUCUGGGCCGAUACUGACGCUGAGGAGCGAAAGCGUGGGGAGCAAACAGG
rnacentral:rRNA from 1 species